rnacentral:lncRNA from 13 species
AUAUGGUAAGAGUAUUUGGUUUAUGAUAGUUUAUUCCCAUCUGACUGAUAAAACAGCCCUGAAAGUGCUGAAUAAUAUGGUGUAGGCUAGCUCGCAUGGUGUGUAUGCAUACGCAUUCUCACUCCAACUGGUUCUUCAUCCUCUCAAAAUUAACCAAUUUCCCCUCUCCUCCAAUGACUCGCCUGCUAUCCAUAUCCUCAUUUGUCAGUUUGGAGUGUGUGAGAAAGAAAAAGCUUGAGAGCGAAAGCGACAGAGAGAGAAGUAAAUACAUAGUGUGUGUGUGUGUGUGUGUGUGUGUGAGCGAGAGAGAGAGAGAGAGAGAGAGAGAGAGCAAGAGAGGUAAAUAAAUAAUGUGUGAGAGAGAGAGAGAGAAAUAAAAAUAGAGAGAGGCAAAUAAAUAGUGUGUGAGAGAGCGAGAGCGAGAGCGAGAGCGAGAGAGAGAGAGAGAGAGAGAGACAGAGAGAGAGAGAAUGCAGUGCUUGACCUGCUGACUGGGCAGGUGCCUGCUGUCUCUGUGGGUCAGUGGGGGGAGCAGUGAUAGGAUCUGAGGGGAGCCAGAGGAGCCGGGAUGGCCCCUGUGUUUCUCCCUAAAGCCCUGAAUAAGCCUGCAGUCAGCAGAGACGGGAUCCCCAGGAUUAGGAGGAGGUCAGGGCUGGAGUUCUGCCACUCUCCCUCUCAGCGGCUGAGCAGGAACUCCUCAUUAUACCUGAUGUGCAAACCAUCCCUCAUGGUGCCUGGGCCUCUCAAACUGACUGCCCCAUCACUGUCUGCCACCAGGACUGGAGGGACUGCAGUCUGUUAUGGUGGGCAUAUGAGAAAUUGGAGGUGUUGCGGUCUAAAUUCAUUGAUCCGAAGAAAAUAAUAUAAAUUCUGUAGGAUGAGCAUCAUCUCAGAGCAAGACAUUCCUGCAGAGACACCUAGUGUCUUUAUUAUACGUUGACACACUACAGACUGCCUGUAACAUCACCAGCCAUCACCCUCUACACUGAGGGAACACACAGAGACACUCUACGGUAAGUCUCUGGGUUAACUAAGAUUCACUCUUUCUAUGUGUAACUACAACCUUAAACAAACAAGAGAGCAGCAUCAAACGUGUUUAACAACAGUAAUGGCAUUU